GACGAACGCUGGCGGCGUGCUUAACACAUGCAAGUCGAACGGAAAGGCCCUGCUUUUGUGGGGUGCUCGAGAGGCGAAAGGGUGAGUAACACGUGAGUAACCUGCCCUUGACUUUGGGAUAACUUCAGGAAACUGGGGCUAAUACCGGAUAGGAGCUCCUGCUGCAUGGUGGGGGUUGGAAAGUUUCGGCGGUUGGGGAUGGACUCGCGGCUUAUCAGCUUGUUGGUGGGGUAGUGGCUUACCAAGGCUUUGACGGGUAGCCGGCCUGAGAGGGUGACCGGCCACAUUGGGACUGAGAUACGGCCCAGACUCCUACGGGAGGCAGCAGUGGGGAAUAUUGCACAAUGGGCGGAAGCCUGAUGCAGCAACGCCGCGUGCGGGAUGACGGCCUUCGGGUUGUAAACCGCUUUCGCCUGUGACGAAGCGUGAGUGACGGUAAUGGGUAAAGAAGCACCGGCUAACUACGUG
rnacentral:rRNA from 1 species